GUGAGGAAUAUUGGGCAAUGCCCGAAAGGGUGACCCAGCAACGCCGCGUGGAGGAUGAAGGUCGUAAGAUUGUAAACUCCUGUUAGAGGGGAAGAAUAACUAAGUUUGGAGCUUAGUAUGACUGUACCCUCAGAGAAAGCCCCGGCUAACUACGUGCCAGCAGCCGCGGUAAUACGUAGGGGGCAAGCGUUGUCCGGAUUUACUGGGUGCAAAGGGCGCGCAGGCGGAAUGGAAAGUCAGUGGUGAAAUCCUACAGCUUAACUGUAGAACUGCCUUUGAUACUUUCAUUCUUGAGUUCGGGAGAGAGAGACGGAAUUCCAGGUGUAGUGGUGAAAUACGUAGAUAUCUGGAAGAACACCAGUUGCGAAGGCGGUCUCUUGGUCCGAUACUGACGCUGAGGCGCGAAAGCGUGGGGAGCAAACA
rnacentral:rRNA from 1 species